AUGAGCGCCUUGAUGAGGAAUCUGCGCCCCGCGCUGUCCGGGCUACUCCGGCCCAAGCCUGCCGCCCGAAGGACUGUUCCGCCGCCGCCCACCGCCAGGCGCUACUACCACGCGCCGUCAACACGGCGAUCUCACAAGGCCCUGAAAUCGCCCGGCCGUGACUCUCUCGUCCGUCGACCACCGCCGUCGCCGCAGGCACCAGCGGUCCCACGCCCACGGUACUACUCCUCCAGGCGACCAAGAAGUUCUAACGAGGUGAAAGUCCAGAUAGUCAUCGCGGGGGUCGUCAUCGUCGGCGGUGUGGUGGUCACGAUCUGCUACGGCACCUUCGAGACCGUGCCCUACACAAACCGCCGCCACUUCGUCGUCCUCACGCACUCGGGAGAGCUUGAGCUCGGCGAGUCGCAGUUCAACAACGAGAAGAAGGAGCUGGGCGACAAGGUCCUCCCUCCCUCCCACCCCAACUUCGUCCGCGUCAACGCCAUCGCCACGGAGGUCAUACGCGCCGCAGGCCGCACCCUUGCCACUGGCCAAGGCAACGAUAAGCGCCUCCUUGACCAAGAAACAUGUGUCGGGGACGCGGCGCCGAGCCCCAAGAAGAAGAAGGCUCGACAGCCGACGACCAAGCAUCUCGACGGGUUCAAGUGGGAGGUGAUCGUGGUCGACAAUAAGCAAGUGAACGCCAUGUGCGCACCCGGUGGCAAGAUCAUAGUCUACACCGGUCUGCUCGACAAGUUCAACACCGACGCUGAGAUCGCCGCGGUGCUAGGGCACGAGGUUGCGCACGCCAUUGCAAGGCACGCUGCAGAGAAGCUCACCAAGCACAUGUGGAUUUUCAUGCUCACGGUUUUCCUGCUCAUCUUUAUCGAUUCGCCGGACCUUAUUGAUAAGCUGACCGAAUACCUCCUCAGCCUGCCUUUCUCACGAAAGAUGGAGAUAGAGGCGGAUCACAUUGGAAUCAUGCUGCUCGCUUCCGCUGGUUUUGAUCCACGCAUUGCUCCUAAGGUCUACGAGAAGCUCGGAAAGGUCGGUGGGAAUUCAUCACCGUUGAAAGAGUACAUGUCUACUCAUCCUUGCAGCAAGAAAAGAACGCAGCUUCUAUUGGAUGCCAAGGUCAUGGACAAGGCCAUGGCGUUAUAUACAGAAGCAAGAGCCAGAAAAGAUGAAAUUGAUCAAUGA
rnacentral:rRNA from 1 species